rnacentral:tRNA from 2 species
GCGCCCGUAGCUCAGUUCGGAUAGAGCGGGAGACUUCUAAUCUCUAGGUCGGGGGUUCGAAUCCCUCCGGGCGCG